GCAAGUCGAACGAACCUUUUAGGUGAGUGGCGCACGGGUGCGUAACACGUGGGAAUAUACACUUCGGUAAGGAAUAACACAGAGAAAUUUGUGCUAAUACCUUAUAAUGACUCCGGUCCAAAGAUUUAUCGCCGAGGGAUUAGCCCGCGCUAGAUUAGUUUGUUGGUGAGGUAAAAGCUCACCAAGACGACGAUCUAUAGCUGGUCUUAGAGGAUGAUC
rnacentral:rRNA from 1 species